AAAGCUUUUGAAUAGAGAAAGAAAUUUUAGAUAAUUAAAUAGGUGGAUAAUGGCAGUGGGAUGUGGGGCAAUUCAAGGCGAUAAUUAUGCGUCGGCCAAUUUUUAAAAACAUCAAUCUCAGCAGUUAAAUCAUUAAUCUGAAGCAGCAGACUUGACAGGAUUUUCGUGCAGAACCAGUUAGAUUUUCAGUGCAGCUCCUGAUCUAGCUGCUAGUAGCAGGAGCCCAUCAAAACUCAUAAUGAUAAAUUAAUCGAUCGAACUGAUUUAAUUCGGUUAUUCAGGUUGGUUAAUCGAUUUUGUUCGGUUAGAGGUCGAUUAAAAAUGUUUUAAAAUUUUAGUUAACAGUAAAUUCGGUUAGAAAUUAGAUAAUUAACUGAAUUAAGCGAAAUUAGUAAAUAAUAUUAUAUAUUAUAUAUUAUAUGUAUUAGGCUAUUACUAAUUUGAUGAAUUCGGAUAAUUCGGUCAAAUGAAAAUUAUCAAAAAAAAAAUUAAUGUUUUAUACUUGUUUUAACCAAAAAAAUAAUUCAGGUAAAUUUUUUUGAAAAAACUUUGAUUCAGUUAACGGUUAAAAGAUCAAAAACUUCAAUUAAUUCGAUUAAUACUAGUUUGGUUCGGUUAACCAUUUGAACAUCUUAGCCCUAACGAAAUUGAAUCUAAACCCUUAACUAAAAUCCAAGUUGAAACCCGAACUUACGAUUUUUUAUAGAUUUGGGUAACUAAAUUUAAAGUCUUCUAAAACUUUCUAUUAUUACUCAUUCUACUCGAAUAUUGAGUAUUUCUAUUGCAUGAAUUGAAUCUUUCCAUUGGUAUUUUUUUUUUAGCCAAAUUGACUUCUAUGUUAAAAUAAUUAAACUCCCACAGUAACCUACUAGAAAUAAAAGAGAAAGGCAGAAAAUGAAAAUAAUGCAUUGAAUUAAGUUACAACUUAAUUACAAGGAAUGAGAGGGACUAGUUGGGAGUUCAUCGAAAAUAAAAGUUCAUAUCUUUUGCGAAUGUGACUUAUUACAUAUUUGCAUAUUGUGAGUUGUGGUUGGUAGUCAUUCAUUUGCUGUUUUUUCUCCCCCUUAAAAUGCUAAUUAAUUUGUAAUAUACUAAUAAUAUUUUUCAGCUUCCUUAUUAUUUUUUGGGACAAUUCAAAAAUGCACCAAGAAACUGCUAACUGGAAACUGGAUGGAUUAUUCUUAUCUUUUUCAUGAAUAACAAUUAGGUACACAAAGCUUUUGAAUAGAGAAAGAAAUUUUAGAUAAUUAAAUAGGCGGAUAAUGGCACUAGGAUGUGGGGGCAUUUCAAGGCGAUAAUUAUGCGUCGGCUAACUUUUAAAAACAUCAAUCUCAACAGUUAAAUCAUAAAUUUGAGAGCAGUAAACUUGACAGGAUCUUCGUGCAGAACCAGUUAGAUUUUCAUUGCAGCUCCUGAUUUAGCUGCUAGUAGCAGCAACCCAUCAUAAUUUAUUUCAUGCAUAUGUGUUGGAGUUUUUGAGAAAAAAAUUUUAUUGAAAAGAGAAAACAACAUAGUGAAGAAAAUAAGAAAAGUAAUUAGGAUUGGAAGGAGUAUACUUUGUUGAACUGAAACUAGUGUUUAUAUAGGAAACAAUUCAACAACUAUGGACUAAAUUUGCCUACAAAUAGAAUCACAAUCUUUAAAAACCUCUAAAAAUAAAAAAUAAAUCAAAGAGUUAUGGUUAUAUCUAAAAUUAUCUAGAUUAUGUCUAAACACUUAUUCCCUCUCUUUCCUAUUUCCUUUAAAUACGCCAUUAGUACCCCAAAGCUAUUUGAAUUUUACAUCUCCUUUCGCAUUUGGCUUUGGUCAUGGCUCGAAGUUUUCUUCAAUGGUUUAGCCUAGUUGUGAUCAUUUGGCUUCAAUCCAUAAAUGAAAGUAACUCAAAAUUCCCAGCUUAUUCACUCCAACUCAAGAAUCUCCUUUCCAUUUUACAAAUUCAACUAAAUAAUUGUCUAAAACAACAAACUUAGACCAAGAUUCGGUUUCUUGAUUUUCUUGAAAACAAGAAAGUGAAUCUUAAUUUUAUUUUUCAGUCGUGUGCGCAGCUAGGGCAUUGGUAACGAAAUCUUGGAUGAUCUCGUUCAAUCUUGCUUGGAUUUGCUUAGCUUUCGACCUCGUUAUUUAGCCUUGAAGAAAUUUGAGCCCAUCACGUUCAUGAACUUGAUUUUGGGCCUUGCGAUUCAUAUCAUUCCCCUCUUCCUCAAAAAGGUUCGUCCUCGAAUCUAAAACAUCAAAGGGAGAUAAAUUAGCAAUAUUAAAAGUAGAACUUUUAUUGUACUCACCGGGCAGAUUUAUUUGAUAGGUGUUAUCACUAAUCCGCUUAAGUACUUGGAAACGCCCAUCUCUAUUUUGGCCUUUGCCUCUGAUGUCGGUAAGCUAUUCAGGUGGCUUUCAGGCAGCACUGCCAACAACUUGCCCAUGUGGUUGGUCCUUAUCCUCGGUUAUUUAGCUGAAUUUGUGAAAUGGAAAGGAGAUGCUUAAGUUAGGAUGAAUAAGCUGAGAAAUUUGAGUUAGUUCCAUUUAUGGAUUGAAGCCAAAUGAUCGCAACUAGGUAAGCCAUUGAAGAAAAAUUCGAGCCAUGACCAAUGCCAAAUGUGAGAGGAGAUGUAAAACUGAAAUAGAUUUAGAGCUGCAAAUAAAACUAUUUAGAGAUGUCAUAGGUUUUAUAAAUUUGAAUGAAAUUUACAUAUUUAAAAAAAUAGAUGCGAAUAAUGGUAACCCCUCAAAUUUAUAAAACUUAUGACACUAUUAUGAAAAAAAACCCCUUAAAUUUAUAAAAUCCUAUGCUAUAAAAAACACCAUAAAAGAUAAAAAUGAAGCAUCCAAAAAAAUCUAUCAAGCAUUGAUAAACAUGUUUAUUUGCAUAUUUCUUGUGUUUAAUUUGGUUUAUUUUUGAACUAAACCCUUCUAAUUAAGUACUUUGAUGAUUUAAUCUUGUCAGGGUUGCAAUUAGUCAAAAACAAGCUAAAAAGGGCCAAUUUGAAAGACAAUCAUUGAAAUGGGGCCAAAUCAAAAAGGUGGAAGAAGCCAAGGAUACAUCAAAUAUUUUGACUUUGUAAAAGCCAAAAAUAGGAAAAUCUUAUUUUAUUUAUUUUUAUUUUAUUUUUGAUUUUAUAUUAAAUUAGUUUAGGCUAAAUUUAGUAAACCCCAUGUAUAUAAAUAGGGGCUUUAUAUUCUUAGGAAAUCAUCCAUUAAUUUUGUAUUCCUACUCCAAUUUAGAAUAGAAUUACCUCCCUUUUUCUUUCACUUUGACGUUAACAUUGUGUAGCAUUGUUUCAAAUUCUUGUUUCUUUUAUAAAAUUGGGCUAAUUGCCUUCUAAGUACUUUUCCUUCCCAAUUUCCACCAUCUUUCUUACAAAUCCAAUCACUUUCCACAACCUACAAGCAUGAUUAAAUCUAUGCUUACCUAAAUUUCCUCUUAGCUUUAGGCCGGUGUUCUUUCCGGUCGGGAAUAGUGAGAUAUGAAUUCGUGCUAAAAACUGUCCAAUCGGUAUUCAUUCUUUCUCUAAGUAUCGGGAUUGACAACUCAUCCCUUAAGAUUAACUCGAUUACAAAUCAAAAAGUGCACAUUGGGUUAGAGUUGUGUUAGCUGACAGUUGGAGAAACGAGUCAGCUGUGCUGUAUUCGGAUCUCCAAGAACAAAUCGAGGAAUAAGUGAUCGUAUUUAAAUGACCCACGAGGUUGAGGUCGACCGUUAAUUCGAGUUGGGUUCUUCAGAACGCAAGGCUGCCAGAAUUUUGAAUCGAAAACACGUGUAUCUCGGUUAGAUAAUCGGUAAGGGUUGGUUUGCAAGUCGUACCGGAACCAGCUACUAGAGGAAGAAUUGGUGGUUAGGACGUUCUUAACUGCUAUAACUGGCUUAUCGAUUGGAGGAGAAGAUUAAUUUUUGAGGAUCAAUUCUUGAUACGAAAUUUACCGAGUCUAAGGCUAAGGCUUAUGUUAUCUAUUUGCAAAAUUCUGAAUUUAUUUUCUAAUUUAUUUAAUUAUUUAUUUAUGUUGUUUCAAUUAUUUUUUUCUAAACAUUUCAAAACCCCCCGAUUUACUUUUAUUUUUAUUCUUUUUGCAGGUACGAUUGGAAUUGUGGGCACGACUGUUGCCACGACCUUCAACAUAACAAACACUCUGAUCAUAAGUUAUACACGAAAGUUAAUUAUAGCAUUCAAUCCCUGUGGAUUCGACCCUACUACUACUCUUACUAUAAAUUAGAGUUAUUUUAUAGGAAUUAUUUUUGGUGGUUUCGACGCUCAUCGAAUUUUUUGAAUUGGAAAAAAAACCACACAAUUCAUAGUUGUAGAGGCAAGUUGUAAUGUAAUUAGCUUUGUUAUUUUAGGUAGGGAUACUCUAAAAGAAAAGCGAGCAAAGAUGCAAAAUCUAAAGAGUCCGAUUAAAGGCUAAAAAGGGUCCUUUUGAGAUGGUGAGGCUGAAAAGACGAGCGAGGUGAUUACAAGAGAAAUCGCUAAACAUGGGAAGAGAAUAAUGUGGGCAUUAAAGCUAUGUGUGAAGAUGAGAAGUGAUAGAAAAGACUGCAGAUUUAGGUAGGAGACAUUAUUAGUUGAAAAACAACAGCUGAGGAGAUCUGACUCAGUUAUGAGCCAACUAUGGGGUUGUAUUGAUUAUGAGUUUUAGUGGGUGUCGAAACCACCUUAUUUAAAUUUUUAUAUUUAAAUGAAAAGCGGGGAAUCGACUUUUGAAAAUAAAACAUGGAGUCGCCACCGAUCUUUUUGUUUAGGUGUGAUCGGAUCACCUAAGAAUUUGGUUAUUUUAAUAAAACAUUUUUUAUUUACUAAAACAACGAUUUUGGUCUACGAACUUUUGAGAAAACGGGUUCGGGAGUCGAUUACGCAUGAGGAAGGAUUAGCACCCUCACUACGCCCAAAAUUGGUACCAAAUCGAUUAAAUGCUGUCCUUAUGUAAAAUGUUUUUGAAAUGUGGUUCCUUUUCGAUAAUAUUUGAAAUACCCGAGUUGGUUAUCAAAAUUCUCUUGCUUAAGAGGAAUAUAGCACCACAUCCAGCACGAUAGGACAUGAUCAUUUAUGCCCUCUAAAACAUGAUAAAUUUUGACUUCCGAAAAAAUUUGUAAGUUGAAAACCGCAGAAGGAUGCCCAAUUAUCCGGUCCAACGAGAAAAUCGAAACCCAGCAUAGUAGGGCACGACUCCUCGAAUUUCUAGACAUAAGAUAUUGCCUUAUUUUAGAAUUUAGAUAGUAUGAGUGAAAUUCUAAAGGAAUCUUCGAUCAUUGAACGAACGGGAAAUCGCAACCCAGCACAAUAAGGCACGAUUCCCGAAUUGCCAAACAUCGAGUAUUACCUUCGUUUUAAAGAGUUUUUAGAAGACAUGAACGAAAUUCUAAAGGGACAUUCGAUUACUUUGAGCAAACGAGAAAUUGCAACCCAGCACGUUAGGGCACGAUUCCGCAAAUUGUCAAAUAUCGAACAUCGCCUUCGUUUUAAAGGAUUUUUAGAAGACAUGAACGAAAUUUUGAAGGGAUAUUCGAUCAUUUUGAGCAAACGAGAAAUUGCAACCCAACACGUUAGGGCACGAUUCCGCGAACUGCCAAAUAUCAAACCUCGCCUUCGUUUUAAAGAAUCUUUAGGAGACAUGGGUGAAAUUUUGAAAGGAUAUUCGAUUAUUUUGAGCAAACGCGAAAUUGCAACCCAGCACGUUAGGGCACGAUUCCGCGAAUUGCCAAGUAUCAAAUCUCGUCUUCGUUUUAAAGAAUUUUUAAAUGAAUAAUUAUAAAACUAGCUUAAAAUGUAUUAAUGCGUUUUUGAAAUGAGACGAAUUUAAUCACAAAAAUUUGGAUUUUAAAAAAACCACAUUUCAUAAACCAAGUAGAAAACGACGAUAUGGGGUAACAGGCACACAUGAGAUACGAUACUUGAUGAAUGAGAAUAUUAAUGAACUAGCAGAAUAAGCAAUUAAAUAUGAUUAAUCUAAAAAUCAUAGCCUAACUUCAAUCACGUAUGAAGGACAAUUAACAAAUCAAUGAGAUGAAUACCAUGCAAUGAUAAUAUAUAUUCAUGUUAUAAUAUAUAAAAAAACAACAAGAUAUGUGCAAAGCAAAAUGGAAUGUAGAAAUCAAAAUGGUAUAAGAUUAAUAAACUUAAGAUAUAUAGGUUGACAAGUUUGAAUAAAAACUAGGGAUAUAUAACCAUAGAAAUAGAUAUUAUAAAAUAAAAGUUCGAAUCAAAUUGCAUGUAAAAUAUUUUAGACACAAAUUUAUUUAAAAGUUGACAAAGUACAUGCUAAUUUAAUAGAUAUAAUACAAAAGAAUAAUAAAGAUACAUGACAAGACAUAAUACACAAAAUAGAUUUAUAAAACAUAUGUACAUGUAAAUUUAUUGUAAAAAAAAUCAUGAGAUUAAUAAUAAUAUAUAUAAAUUUUAAGUUAUUCUAAAAAUUAUAUACAUACCCUUAUAUCAAAACAUUUAAAUAAGAGGCUAUAUAAAACACAAAAGUAAUAUAAUAUAAAGAAAUAUUCAAAAAUAAUAAUUUUGUGAUUACAAAAAAAAUGAGGUUUCUAAGAUUCUUCCAUAUACAUGCAUAAAGAAAAUACUUGAUAACUCAUAUAGCAAAAAAAAUGUUGUAAAUAGGAAAACCUAUUAAAGUAAUAAUAUCAAUAUAUAUAUAACUUUUGAAAAUAAUUACAUGUAAAAUUACAUAGAAAAGAUAAUAUUUAUAGGGCUAAAUUAAUUUUAUAAUAAAUUAAACAAUAGAUUAAAAAAAAACAUGCUUUCGUGUAAAGAAAAUGUAUAUAUAAAAUGUAUAGGUUUAGAAAUAUAUAUAGAAUAUGUGUACUAAUAUAAAUAAGUAUAAAAAUAAUUUAAACUUUACGUAAAAUAUAUGUACAAAACGUGUUAGAAUAAUAAAAAUGUAUAUACCAAAAUACAUGAACAGAGUCAAGAAUCAUUAUAUACAUGCAAAUACAUUAACCUUGUUAUGAAAUUCGUACAUGUAUAAUAAUAUAAAGGAGAUAAACAUUUAAAACAUUCAAAGUGUGAUGUUAAUACUACAGAAACGAAUUUACAAGAAUAAUAAAAAAACAAUCAUCUAAAGUUGUUUUUUUUUUUAAAAAUAAUAAUGAAUUAAGAACACAGAGGGUUAUACGCUAAAAGGACUUAAUUAAAAACGAUCCAAAAUAAAAGGGAAAAUUUGAAAACAAAAUAUAAAAGAAAGGACCACUGCGCGAUGCGCGCAAAUGCACAGGGGCUCAAUCUGGAAAUAUUCCAGGCUCCCAAAACGCGGCGCUGAAGCGCGGGUCAAAUUGCAAACGUGCGUAAAUUAAAGGAAACAAUUUAAAAAAAAAAGAAAAAAGCACAGAUAGGCCGAUUUAAACUUGGUGCAAAAGGAAAGGGAUUUAAAGCGCAAUUAACCCCUCACCGCAAAAACACGCGGAUCCCAGGGGCUAGGAGUCGGGUCGGUCGGGUCUUGUCCAUACGGCACCGUUUUGGAGCCAGCGGGCUCAAACGGUGUCGUUUUUAGUUGCUUAAAAGGGCCCCAAAGCUGAGCUAUUCGACUGAAUCAAUAGAGAAGGGAAACCCUAAUCCUCUGCGCCGUUUAACCUCUGUUUCGUCCUUUCAAACGAUGAAUAGCGCCCCGAUAGUGCCUUUUUCCUUCCUUAUUCCGAAUCCAACCCUAUAGUCUGCCGAUUUCAGCCUUGGAAUCUUCCCAAACUUCGACACCAACGAAGAAGAUAGAUUCCAGUGGCUUAUACACAAAGGUAAGUCUUCGUUUUGACUUUAUUAUACUCGGAAAACACAUGCCAAACCAAGGAAGAUGAAACAAAAUUGAGAGAAAGAACGUAUGAGCGCUCAAAAUCACCUUUUUUCUUGCUAAUUUCUGUAUUGUAUAUCUGCGUAUAUUGCCUCUGCUUUGUAUUGCUACUGAAUGCUUCAGUAAAAAAAAAGGGAACCCCUCUACAAUAUAAAAUCAUCGGCUUUAUAGCCGAAUGUUCAAAAAAGAAAUAAAAAGAAAUACAAUUUUGUGCUUUUUUCGUAUUGGCCAUUGUUUCUGUUGUCGUCUUGUUCAUUUCUUUGCAGGUACAGGUGCGUGGCGUAUGUACGAGGGCAUGUGCUGGCGUAGGAGGAGUGUACGGCGCCUGGAGGCUGCUAGGGCUGCUACGGCGCAAGCCAAUGCUGCUAGGGUUUGCUGACAUUAGGCUGGAUUUCUGGGCCGUUUAGGGUAUUGAGCUAGGACAUUGGGCUUGUGACUUGGUUUUAAUUUUAGGUCUAGGUUAUGUAAUUGGUUUGGGCCAUGUAAUGAUUUGGUUUGUAAAAAGACAUUAAUUAAUGGACUGUUAUAAUUUUAUUUAUUUUAUGUUUAUGGUUUUUUAGUUUAUUUGGGCCAGGCAAAUUUGGCCCACUACAGUGGGUUGCUACUACUAGCAGCUAAAUCAGGAGCUGCACUGAAACUCUAAUUGGUUCUGCACGAAGAUCCUGUCAAGUCUGAUGUUCCCAGAUUGAUGAUUUAGUUGCUGAGAUUGAUGUUUUUAAAAGUUGACCGAUGGGUAAUUAUCGCCUUAAAUUACCCCCACAUCCUAAUACCAUUAUCUACCUAUUUAAUUAUCUAAAAUUUCUCUCUAUUCAAAAGCUUUGCAUACCCG
rnacentral:lncRNA from 1 species